rnacentral:rRNA from 1 species
GACGAACGCUGGCGGCGUGCUUAACACAUGCAAGUCGAACGGAAAGGCCCUGCUUUUGUGGGAUGCUCGAGUGGCGAACGGGUGUGUAACACGUGAGUAACCUGCCCUUGACUUUGGGAUAACUUCAGGAAACUGGGGCUAAUACCGGAUAGGAGCUCCUGCUGCAUGGUGGGGGUUGGAAAGUUUCGGCGGUUGGGGGUGGACUCGCGGCUUAUCAGCUUGUUGGGGGGGUAGUGGCUUACCAAGGCUUUGACGGGUAGCCGGCCUGAGAGGGUGACCGGCCACAUUGGGCCUGGGAUACGGCCCAGACUCCUACGGGAGGCAGAGGGGGGGAAUAUUGAACAAGGGGCGGAAGCCUGAUGCAGCAACGCCGCGUGCGGGAUGACGGCCUUCGGGUUGUAAACCGCUUUCGCCUGUGACGAAGCGUGAGUGACGGUAAUGGGUAAAGAAGCACCGGCUAACUAUGUG